GAGGGGCCCACGUGGUAUUAGCUAGACGGCGGGGUAACGGCCCACCGUGGCCAAGAUGCCUAGCAGGUGUGCGAGCACGACCUGCGCCACUGGCACUGGGACACUGGCCAGACUCCUGCGGGAGGCUGCAGUCGAGGAUCUUCGGCAAUGGGCGCAAGCCUGACCGAGCGACGCCGCGUGUGCGACGAAGGCCUUCGGGUUGUAAAGCACUGUCGCGGGGGAGGAAAGCCGCAAGGCCUGACCGACCCCGGGAGGAAGCACGGGCUAAGUUCGUGCCAGCAGCCGCGGUAAGACGAACCGUGCGAACGUUGUUCGGAUUCACUGGGCUUAAAGGGCGCGUAGGCGGGCACCCAAGUCAGGGGUGAAAGCCCCCGGCCCAACCGGGGAAGUGCCUCUGAUACUGGGUGCCUCGAGGGGGGUAGGGGCACGCGGAACUUCCGGUGGAGCGGUGAAAUGCGUAGAUAUCGGAAGG
rnacentral:rRNA from 1 species